GAUGAACGCUGGCGGCGUGCCUAAUACAUGCAAGUCGAGCGAACGGACGAGAAGCUUGCUUCUCUGAUGUUAGCGGCGGACGGGUGAGUAACACGUGGAUAACCUACCUAUAAGACUGGGAUAACUUCGGGAAACCGUAGCUAAUACCGGAUAAUAUUUUGAACCGCAUGGUUCAAAAGUGAAAGACGGUCUUGCUGUCACUUAUAGAUGGAUCCGCGCUGCAUUAGCUAGUUGGUAAGGUAACGGCUUACCAAGGCAACGAUGCAUAGCCGACCUGAGAGGGGGAUCGGCCACACGGGAACUGAGACACGGUCCAGACCCCUACGGGAGGCAGCAGUAGGGAAUCUUCCGCAAUGGGCGAAAGCCUGACGGAGCAACGCCGCGUGAGUGAUGAAGGUCUUCGGAUCGUAAAACUCUGUUAUUAGGGAAGAACAUAUGUGUAAGUAACGGUGCACAUCUUGACGGUACCUAUCAGAAAGCCACGGCUAACUACGUG
rnacentral:rRNA from 1 species